GUAGGUGAACCUGCGGAAGGAUCAUUACCGAGUUGAUUCGGGCUCCGGCCCGAUCCUCCCACCCUUUGUGUACCUACCUCUGUUGCUUUGGCGGGCCGCGGUCCUCCGCGGCCGGCCCCCCUCCCCGGGGGGUGGCCAGCGCCCGCCAGAGGACCAUCAAACUCCAGUCAGUAAACGAUGCAGUCUGAAAAACAUUUAAUAAACUAAAACUUUCAACAACGGAUCUCUUGGUUCUGGCAUCGAUGAAGAACGCAGCGAAAUGCGAUAAGUAAUGUGAAUUGCAGAAUUCAGUGAAUCAUCGAAUCUUUGAACGCACAUUGCGCCCUUUGGUAUUCCGAAGGGCAUGCCUGUUCGAGCGUCAUUACAACCCUCAAGCUCUGCUUGGUAUUGGGCACCGUCCUUUGCGGGCGCGCCUCAAAGACCUCGGCGGUGGCGUCUUGCCUCAAGCGUAGUAGAACAUACAUCUCGCUUCGGAGCGCAGGGCGUCGCCCGCCGGACGAACCUUCUGAACUUUUCUCAAGGUUGACCUCGGAUCAGGUAGGGAUACCCGCUGAACUUAA
rnacentral:rRNA from 1 species